GACGUAGGGCGCGAGCGUUGUCCGGAUUUAUUGGGCGUAAAGAGCUCGUAGGCGGCUUGUCGCGUCGUCCGUGAAAACCAGGGGCUCAACCCCUGGCUUGCGGUCGAUACGGGCAGGCUAGAGUUCGGUAGGAGAGACUGGAAUUCCUGGUGUAGCGGUGAAAUGCGCAGAUAUCAGGAGGAACACCGGUGGCGAAGGCGGGUCUCUGGGCCGAUACUGACGCUGAGGAGCGAAAGCGUGGGGAGCAAACAGG
rnacentral:rRNA from 1 species